rnacentral:rRNA from 1 species
UACGGGGGGGGUAAGCGUUGUUCGGAAUUACUGGGCGUAAAGGGCUCGUAGACGGCCAACUAAGUCGGAUGUGAAAUCCCCAGGCUUAACCUGGGAACUGCAUCCGAUACUGGAUGGCUUGAAUCCGGGAGAGGGAUGCGGAAUUCCAGGUGUAGCGGUGAAAUGCGUAGAUAUCUGGAGGAAUACCGGUGGCGAAGGCGGCAUCCUGGACCGGCAUUGACGCUGAGUGAGCGAAAGCCAGGGGAGCAAACGGG